AAAAAGUUGUCGACGGACUUUCAUACACUUAGAUCCGUUUGAAUUUGAAGACCUAACGUGAUGAAAAGAUAAACGACUGACCUGAGCUCUUUUUCUCUGCAAGAACAAACUCUGCGUCAUCACAAAUGCCACACAUAAUUUGUAAUAAAUAUCGGCAGGUUUACACCUACAGCAGCGAGUGAUGAUUGUGAAAUGUUAUUCCAGUGGCCUUAAGACGUCUUUCUCCAUUUCAGGAUUCUUGAACUUGAAGUUGCUUGUAGAAGAAUCAAUCAUGUGUUUCCACAUCGCAUUCAAGCAACAACGUUUGAAUGAAG